rnacentral:ncRNA from 1 species
UUCCCCUCGGCGAAAGAGUGCCCUCAUUGGGCGCGUGCCAGGUGGUUGAAUGCUCUGCAUAAGAGCCAUAACCUGGAUAGCCGAGGCGGUUUUAU